AGAUGAGACUGUGUGCAAGGACACGAACAGGCCACCUGACGGCGAGACCAGGAGGCCCCCUAGCGGGCCCAGCUACGCGGCACAUGGCCUGGUCCGCGCGGGCGGAAGUCCUACGGCCGGAGACCCGCGGCUGCCACCGGGCCAGCGGGAACAAAGGACACGGCGGGCAGAAGGUUGGCCGAACGGUGAUUGGCGGCUGGUGGGGAGUCCGGGCCGAGACGGGAUUGGUUGCGGCCUCGGCACCAGCCCCGCCCCUCGAAGCCGAAAUCUGAGCUCCUAGCAACUCCCCCGCCCCCGGGCCCCCCUGUGCGGACCUGCUCCGUAGGCGGCCAUCUGCACCCGCGAGGGCGCCUACACAGGCGUUGGGCUUGCAUCCCUGCGGUACCCGGAGAGCUAUGUACCAAACUACCCGCCCUCCUCCCUGCUGCAGGAAGGGGGUGUCAGGACCGUGUAGCGAGUUCCAGACACCGCCUCCUGGAGAAGCUCGACGGCCACUGUAGUGACAGGGUGCACGCGUGAAGAGACCGGAUCCCGGGAAGCUGUCCCGAGGGUGGUGGCUGUACUGGGAGAAGGGCCAGAGAACAGGGAUCACUCAAAGAGUGGGGGCCAGGGUAAGACAAGGAAGUGGAGGAGGCCAUAGUCUGAAAGUCAAGUCAGGGAAGUCUGACUGGAUGGCCCUGUAAGUCCGAGAGUAGUGAUGGAGCUCUACCCCCAGAACCCCAGCCAGGCUUGAGGCACGAGGGAGAGCGAACCAGGUUCCUUUACUAGCCAGGCCACCGCAGAGUGGUUAAGAACAUGAGGAGGGGCCUUUCUCAACAAGGUUCCCCUUUCCCAGAUGCUUAAGAGGUGAGAGGGGUGGGGCUCUGGGCCCGGCCACCAAUCACAGCCUCUACUCCACUUUGAAUCUGGGUUGGCGGGCGCGGGCUGCAGGCCGCCAGGUGUGCUGGGGCCCUCUUUGUCCCCACUUCGUCUGCCCAGGCACGUCCCAUUCCACCCCCAUCCUUCAAGAGCCCCAGGGCCCGGUCUUGCUGGUUCCCCUCUUCUCCCCGUACACCAUCCCCCCCUUCCCGGUAGGAACCUAAAACUGGACUCAGGUCAGGGUACCUUGCAGGCUUGGUGACCAGUCCUCUAGAGUCCUCUUGUACAGGGAUCAUAAUCCACUAGAGGCAGGCAGUUUCUCCACAGCUGGCCACCAAGGGCCUGAUGGUGCAGGGGUGGAGGUCGGUCGGGGAGGAACUUUAUACCAAAACUCCUUGAAGAAAGAGAAGGCCAGGGAGACUCAAAUUGGUGAGUUAGAUCCCCAGGACUCACUCAUAUAAUGAAGUUAGAGAACUCAGAAAUUGUCCUCUAAACAUGGUCUCUAUAGUGGG
rnacentral:lncRNA from 1 species